rnacentral:rRNA from 1 species
UGGUGGAGUGAUUUGUCUGCUUAAUUGCGAUAACGAACGAGACCUUAACCUGCUAAAUAGUUACGUGAACCUUUGCGUUCGUGGACAACUUCUUAGAGGGACUAUUGCGUGUUUUAACCAAAGGAAGUUUGAGGCAAUAACA